UGCUGCACUUGCAGAGGAAUUGUCCAGGAGCAGCAGCCGGAGGAAAAAUUGGCAGACGUGGGCCUGAGGAGCCUGGACAUUCUUCUAAGGAGACAUGAACAGUCCUCAGCUUUCUGCCUCGUGCAUAACUGGCUGUGGGUUUGGUGUGUCUGACCAGAGUCAUCUGUGCAGAGUGACUAUUUCAGGUGUCGUCGCAAGGGGGGCUUUCUACUUGUAGUCCUAAAGUACUAAGGGAAAAGAAGUGACAAGUCAGAGUCUACUGCCCUCAUGCGAUGGAAAGCGAGCGAGAGUGAUGGGACUGUGAGAAUUAUUGAUGCCUUGAAAAAGCGGUCCAACUGGGAAUGGACCAGUCAUCACUGUCAAUGAGAUAAGUGUCUGUUUUGGUGAUUGCUCUGCUCACGGCCCACCUUGCUCCUGAAAGGGAUGCCCUGUUUGCUGAGGCUGUGUUUGUAAGAAAAGGUUCCUGACUAGCUGUGGUUUUGAGAGAGAGAGAAGAUCGCCAUUUUUAGGGGCUGCUCAGUUUUCUGGCCAGGAGCAGUGUGUCCUACGCAGCAGAAGGUUGCAUCUAGGAGAAUGAGCCCACGUGGUGAAUUGCUUGCCUUUCUCUCCUGUUUCUCUCUCUCUCUCCCCUGUAGUGUGUUGGUCAACACUCUUUCUCAAUCUGUCCUUGCCUUUCCUUGUGCUGUCUCCCUUCUUAGGAUAUCGGCAGGCGAGCUAGGUGUGCAUCCCCACAGGUUGUCUUGGGAGCCAUAAAGAAGUAGGAGGGGACGAAAAUCAUGCAGGGCAGUCGGUGCGAGACUGGAGCGGUGACUGUUGGUGUUGUGGGGCUAAGACAGAUUGAAAGUGAAGCAGGGAAGAGGGCCUUAAUUGGGCUCUAUGUAGUGCAGGAGUUCUCAAACUGGGGUUUAGGUCCCGUCGGGGCCGCAAGGUUGUUAUUUGGGGGGUUGUGAAAUGUCAUCCUCCAUCCUAAACAUCACUUGGCUUCCAGCAUUUAUAAUGGUGUUGAAUGUACAAAAAGUCUUUUUAAUUUAUAAGAGGUGGGUCACACGUAGAAGCUUUCUAUGUAAAAGGGAUCAUCAGUACAAAAGGUUGAGAACCACUGGUGUAGUGAUAGUUCUUGCUUGCCUUUAUUAGUUUGCAGAGGAAUUGUCCAGGAGUCUCAGUUGGAGAAGAAGCUGUCAGAAGUGGACCUGAACUGCCUGGACAUCCUUCUAAGGAGACAUGAACAGUCCUCAGCUUUCUGCCUUCUGAACAACUGGUUGUGAGUAAGAGUACUAAGGAAAAAUGUCACAUGUCAGAGUCUACUGCCCUCAUGCAAUGGAAAGUGAGUGAGAGCAGCGAGCCUGUGAGCAUUGUUCAUGCCAGACAAGAGCCGUUCAUUUGGGAGCCCAGCAGAUGCCACUGUCAGUGAGAUAAGUGUCUGUUUUGCUGAGGGUUCUGUUAACAGCCCAUCUGACUCCAGGUACAGACACCCUGUUAGUUAGGGCUGGUUUGUCAGAGUUUCCUGACUAGCUGGGGAUACAAGGGAGACAAGGUCCCCAUUUUCAGGGGCUUGUCAUUUCUCUGUUCACAAGCAGUGUGUCCUCUGUAGGAGAAGGUUGGAUCCAGGAGGAUGACUCCAGAUGGUGAGUUACUUGCCUUUCUCCUGUGUUUCUCUCUCUUCUCUAGUGUGUUGGCCAACACUCUUUCUCUCUCUGUCUCUGUCCUUGCCUCUCCUUGUGCUGUCUCCCUUAAUAGAACAGGGGCAGGAGUGCUAGGUGUGCAU